UUCUCCUUAGCUUCCUUGGUAGCAACGUUCGCUUACUCGACCUAGUCCUCUGACUUAUCGGGCUCCCUUAAACGAAUAUGAGCUCUGGAGCAGUCCAACUCUCCAGCUGCUUCGAUCAUACCUCUGUAUGAUCAAGUCCCUCCCAUGGGACUCACUAGUACUUGCAUUCGAACUUUUCCCUUGGUGGAACACAGCCCCCAUAUGCUGAUGACUAAGGCUUUCAUCCGAUGCAAAAUUCGAUGCACGCACGGAAGACCCGUCUCUACGGUACCAUGGCCUUCACUCCUUGAAUCCAUAGCCCUUCUU
rnacentral:lncRNA from 1 species